GUGUCAGCAGCCGCGGUAAUACGGAGGGUGCGAGCGUUGUCCGGAAUCACUGGGCGUAAAGGGCGCGUAGGCGGCCUGAUAAGUAGGGGGUGAAAUCCUGCGGCUUAACCGCAGGGCUGCCUUCUAAACUGUCAGGCUUGAGCACAGUAGAGGCAGGUGGAAUUCCCGGUGUAGCGGUGGAAUGCGUAGAGAUCGGGAAGAACAUCAGUGGCGAAGGCGGCCUGCUGGGCUGUUGCUGACGCUGAGGCGCGACAGCGUGGGGAGCAAACAGGAUUAGAUACCCUGGUAGUCCACGCCGUAAACGAUGGGCACUAGGCGUCGGGGGGAGCGACCCUCCCGGUGCCGUCGCUAACGCAGUAAGUGCCCCGCCUGGGGAGUACGGCCGCAAGGCUGAA
rnacentral:rRNA from 1 species